GCAGCCCCCAGCCCCAAAACCCCCAGGACAGGGCAGGGGUCCCCAAACCCCCCAGGACAGGUCAGGGGUCCCCAAAACCCCCAGGACAGGGCAGGGGUCCCCAAAACCCCCAGGACAGGGCAGGGGUCCCCAAACCCCCUGAGGGCCCUCAUUCCCCAAACCCCUGUCCCUGUGGGAAGGGUCCCCAGGUGAAUGUUCCCUGCCCAGGUGAGGGUCCCCAGGUGAAUGUUCCCUGCCCAGGUGAGGGUCCCCAGCCAGGUGAAUUCCCCUGCCC